rfam:Picea glauca, whole genome shotgun sequence.
UACAACAUAGAUUUAAUGCAUUGGAUCCUGUUAGAACUCCAUAGUUAAGCAUGCUCAAGAUAGAGUAGUACUGGGAUGGGUGAUCGCCUGGGAAGUCUUAGUGUUUUAC